UCGGGAAUUUUGGGCAAUGGGCGAAAGCCUGACCCAGCAACGCCGCGUGAGGGAUGAAGGCCCUCGGGUCGUAAACCUCUGUCGGGAGGGAAGAACGGUUCACGUUCGAACAGGACGGGAGCCUGACGGUACCUCCAAAGGAAGCACCGGCUAACUCCGUGCCAGCAGCCGCGGUAAUACGGAGGGUGCAAGCGUUGUUCGGAAUCAUUGGGCGUAAAGCGCGUGUAGGCGGCUUGGCAAGUCGGUUGUGAAAGCCCGGGGCCCAACCCCGGAACUGCAUCUGAAACUGCCUGGCUAGAGUCCCGGAGAGGAAGGCAGAAUUCCCGGUGUAGGGGUGAAAUCCGUAGAUAUCGGGAGGAAUACCAGCGGCGAAGGCGGCCUUCUGGACGGUGACUGACGCUGAGACGCGAAAGCGUGGGGAGCAAACAGG
rnacentral:rRNA from 1 species